rnacentral:rRNA from 1 species
GACGAACGCUGGCGGCGUGCUUAACACAUGCAAGUCGAGCGGUAAGGCCCUUUCGGGGGUACGACGAGCGGCGAACGGGUGAGUAACACGUGGGUGGACCUGCCCUCCAGCUCUGGGAUAAGCCUGGGAAACCGGGUCUAAUACUGGAUAUGACUCCAUGACGCAUGUUGUGGGGUGGAAAGCCUUGUGCGGCUGAGGAUGGGCCCGCGGCCUAUCAGCUUGUUGGUGGGGUGAUGGCCUACCAAGGCGACGACGGGUAGCCGGCCUGAGAGGGCGACCGGCCACACUGGGACUGAGACACGGCCCAGACUCCUACGGGAGGCAGCAGUGGGGAAUCUUGCGCAAUGGGCGAAAGCCUGACGCAGCGACGCCGCGUGAGGGAUGACGGCCU